rnacentral:rRNA from 1 species
UACGUAGGGUGCAAGCGUUAAUCGGAAUUACUGGGCGUAAAGCGUGCGCAGGCGGUGAUGUAAGACAGGUGUGAAAUCCCCGGGCUUAACCUGGGAACUGCAUUUGUGACUGCAUCGCUGGAGUGCGGCAGAGGGGGAUGGAAUUCCGCGUGUAGCAGUGAAAUGCGUAGAUAUCAGGAGGAACACCCGUGGCGAAAGCGGCUCUCUGGGACGGUACUGACGCUGAGACGCGAAAGCGUGGGGAGCAAACAGG